rnacentral:rRNA from 1 species
AAAUUUGAAAUCUGGCUCUUUUAGAGUCCGAGUUGUAAUUUGCAGAGGGCGCUUUGGCUUUGGCAGCGGUCCAAGUUCCUUGGAACAGGACGUCACAGAGGGUGAGAAUCCCGUACGUGGUCGCUGGCUAUUGCCGUGUAAAGCCCCUUCGACGAGUCGAGUUGUUUGGGAAUGCAGCUCUAAAUGGGAGGUACAUUUCUUCUAAAGCUAAAUAUUGGCCAGAGACCGAUAGCGCACAAGUAGAGUGAUCGAAAGAUGAAAAGCACUUUGGAAAGAGAGUCAAACAGCACGUGAAAUUGUUGAAAGGGAAGCGCUUGCAGCCAGACUUGCUUGCAGUUGCUCAUCCGGGCUUUUGCCCGGUGCACUCUUCUGCAGGCAGGCCAGCAUCAGUUUGGGCGGUAGGAUAAAGGUCUCUGUCACGUACCUCUCUUCGGGGAGGCCUUAUAGGGGAGGCGACAUACUACCAGCCUGGACUGAGGUCCGCGCAUCUGCUAGGAUGCUGGCGUAAUGGCUGUAAGCGGCCCGUCUUGAAACACG